UACGGGGGGGGCAAGCGUUGUUCGGAAUUACUGGGCGUAAAGGGCUUGUAGGUGGCCAACUAAGUCAGACGUGAAAUCCCUCGGCUUAACCGGGGAACUGCGUCUGAUACUGGAUGGCUAGAGUUUGGGAGAGGGAUGCGGAAUUCCAGGUGUAGCGGUGAAAUGCGUAGAUAUCUGGAGGAACACCGGUGGCGAAAGCGCUCUGCUAGGCCGCAACUGACACUGAGGGACGAAAGCUAGGGGAGCGAAUGGG
rnacentral:rRNA from 1 species